AGAUCACAGUGUAUCUAAUCCUUGCUACUACUCGUUGUCGGAUACGAUGAUGCAGCGUCCCCAUUACGAUGCUCAGGGCCAGGUGCCACAGUACAGCCGAGCAUCCUACAACGAUGGUGGCUACAACAUGAGCCGCCACAUGGAUGGCAUACCGCCACAAGCCUACAACCAGCCCCCGGUCAACUACUAUCAGCCGCCACAGGUCUAUCCGAUGGGUAACCCCAUGUACAACGUUCCGCAGGGGUACCCGCCGGCGAUGCCCGGAUACCGUGGUGGUCGCGGCCGCGGUGGCUGGUACUAUCCGAGUGCCGGUAGUGGCGGCUACAACAACAUGCGCGGCGGCUUCCGUGGCGGCCGUGGCGGGCUCCCGCUACGCCGCAAGAAGCCUUUUGUCGGCGGCACGCUCGAGACCCAGCGCGAGUGGGAACGCCAGACCGCCUGCUGUUUCAACCUUCAGGGCUCGUGCAAGUUCGGCGACGGAUGCCGCUUUCUGCACGACGAUGUAAAGGGUCGCGCGUGCCAGUUUGGCGCCAAGUGCCGUGUGCACGGCACCGCCAAGGACGCCGAGGCUGAGGCGCCGGCGAAGGAGGACGCACCAAAGAAGAACGAGAAGCCGGGCGAGUCAACGCCGGAGAAGACUGAGGAGAAGACGGUCGCGAAGAAGGAGGAGAAGUCUGCUGAGAAGGCGCCUGAGAAGCCGGUGGCAGACAAGGAAGCCGAGAACGCGGAGAAGAAAGAGUAGAACGUUUGUGGGCUGAUGCCAACGCGUGUAGGGGGUAGCCGAGGUGAUCUCCUCUCAUUCUGCGUGGUGCAUUCCCUGUGCCACGCUUCCACACACUCAGCGAUGCGCGGCAGUCCUUGACGCCUUUGUGCUUUCCUGUCUCCGCAUUUUUCGUUUGGGCGCGCCACUCUCUGUCUAGUUGGAUGAGCCUCCGGCCUCCUAUUCUCUCUCCCUCUCUCUCGAUUACGGCGUGGAUGGGCAUAUCUCCUCUCCGGGCCCGCUGUUGGUUUCUUCUCUGGGCUGUGUCGUUCUGACGCAAGUCUGUGUGUGUGUGUGUGUGCUGCGUUCUGUAUGUCUCUUCUUCCUCUUCUUAUCCACCACCACCCCACCCACACUCGUCAUGCACUCGCGCCAUCCAGCAAAGCAAAGGAAAGAGAAGAGAGAGACGAGAGCGUAAAAAAGGGGGCAACGGCAAAAAUGAGCGCCUCCGCGGCGUCUGUGUGACGUGUCGACGGGCACACCGGGGCGGACGUAAGAAAAAAAGAAAAUCGGUGCGAAACAACGAAAGGAACAAAGAGAGAGAGAGAGACGUAAUCGAUGCGCCGAUGUGUGCGCGCGUGUGUGUGCGUGUGCGUCUUUGUUGUUGUUGCGUGCCUCUGUUGGCACAGAUGAGAGAAGCAAACCGUGCGAAAGAAAAAAAAGAAACGGGAGGGGCUCUUGAUCAACACACACACGCACACGAUAAGAGCAACGAAAGGACAUAAUUCAUUUUGGUUUCUUAUUCUCCUCUUAAAUGCGCAAGGUAAGCUGGUGAAUGCGCCAGCACGCUAAAACAAAGGAAAGCGAGGCACGCUAUCCUCUGCAAGUCUCUCUCUCUAUUUAACAUACACGCACACAAGUGUGCAUGUAGCCUCAUCCUGUGUGUGUGAGUGAGUGUGUUUGUGAGAUCCCCCCCCUUAAGAAAGAAGCGCUCGAAAGAAACGGGGAUGGCAGCAGUGCCACAGGUAGUGUUGUAGUCGCACACGCGAGCGGCAGAGCGAAGUCUGCCAAACUGUUGCGAAAUGGCCAC
rnacentral:misc_RNA from 1 species